rnacentral:lncRNA from 1 species
AAAAAAUCUUAACAAAAAAAUAUAGAAUCAUUAGUUAAUUACACAACAUAUUUUCAUUAUGCAUAAAGCACUUUAACCUAAAGCAAGAUAUUUGUUCAUAAAUUUUCUCCAACAAAAAUAUGAGUCCACAGCAUAAAAUGCCCUGCUCUUAUUUUCAUAUUUUAAUGUGAACCACAGAAUCUGGGUAAAAACCUUGAUCUGACUACCCAGGUAUUUAAAAAAAAAUAUCACAUCAUAGUAAAUUUCAGACUGAUGUGACCAAAACUUCAUGGUAAACAGUAAACCACUUUAGCCAACAUUUUCACUUGAUACCAAUGCAAAUAAACUGAUCUACAAACCAGAAAACAAAAUGUCGCAGACAUAAAAAUCUAGCUAAAGUUGCACAAGACUAAAGUGAAUUGAAGUUUAUAUUAACCUAGUUUAAAACCUGAUAAACAUUUUUUGACUCCUAGCAUAGAUAGUCAUACUCAUCAUUGUCAAAAUGUUUUUUAAAAGUUUAUCACUUGAAUCUAUGAUUUUCAAAUUUACAUUUCAAACUUAAAAGGUUUUUAAUGAAAUCAAGAUAAGGUCUUUUCUUCUUUUCUUUUUUAAUUUGCCGCCAUAUCUUAUGGAAUGACUUGACACAAAUCAACAAUACAUGUACGACUUCAAAUUGUAAAAUUUACAUUAUUCAAACUCUGAAAUUAACGAGACUUGUAUGAAGGGAAAAGGAGGCUCAAAAACACAUUCAAUGCUACUUAAACUCAUUAAUUUAAGGGGAGUUAAAUUCAAAACCUUGCUACACACUUAAUGACGUC